rnacentral:misc_RNA from 1 species
GCACCCGUGGGAAUAACUAUGCCCAGACUUCUUCAUAUAAAAUUGAACCAUGAGAAACCAAAAGCACCCGACUGUAAAGUACGUGUGACAGCUCCGCUAUUUAUUUACUCCCCACGAUUUUUGUUUGUUUCAAAGUUGUUUUCAACUAGUUUUCUAUGACAAUGUUCUCAGACCUGGAGCAGCGUCAGUCCCUAAGUUUGCAAAAGGUUCCAUCCGCAUUAGUACACAACCAUGUCAGUUUGGAGUUCGUGUUGAACAUGAUGAAUCAUUGAAUGUGCAGUAAUUAUAUAGUCGCUAGAGGGCGCUAUAUUGAUCACAUCGCUCAAGCCUCCAUCUCAUGUUCAGCUCACAUUGUCAUGAUUGUCAUUGGCUAGGCCACUCAAUCAUGAGGGCUACAGAGAUGGUUACAGUGCAGGACAAGAGGCAGUCUUACAAGACGCAUUCAACAGAGGAUUUGCCCAUCAUGUCCAACUGGAAACCUCUGCAUCAUUCUAUAAGGGAAUUCUUUGGGCAUUGAAGACAUUUGCAGAGCGAUCUAGAACUUCCAAAACCCCACCAACGUUGAGCCUGAGUGCCAGUGAUGAAUCAAGAAUAGCAUCACUGCUAGAAGAACUCAGAAUUAUUUCUGGAGGAAAUGACUCAACAAGUGAGAAUACAAACUCAACUGAUGUUGAUGAAGAAGAUAAAACUGAUGCUGUUUCAGAAAACUGUCUCUCACAAAAUCCAGAGGGCAGCAUUGUAAGUGAUCAAGCAUCACAUUGUAAUCCUGCUGGGUGUGUUUGUCUCUCAGCUGAUUCAGAUGGAGAAGCAUCACAUGGUGGAACUUCAAAGCCAAAAAGUUUGAAUGAAGGAACAUUUGAAUACGGUGGUCAGCACUCUAAUAAAAUGAAAGAAGUUGCUGGUAAUUGUAAGGAUUUACUGAAAGAAUUAGGUCUUGAAAAAAUGCUGCACCUACUUCCGUCAAAAAGGUGUUUGCUCAAGUAAACUCUGAAAUCAAAUUCCCAGUUUUCAAGAAUAGGGGAACCAAAUUCACAAAUUAUUCAGAAACAUGCAGAUAUUCUAGAUUUUUUCUGACUCCCAGAUUUAUUCCUCGUAGAACACUGCAGCAAAAUACUAAGAUUAGUUAAUAUAUUCAAUACUAUAGUCAUACAUGUUUACAGAAUAUU